rnacentral:lncRNA from 1 species
CGGCGCCUCCGAGGGGGCGGGGCGGGAGGGGAGGGGUCCUUCGGCUGCUCCGCACCCUUACCUCGGCCCUCCGCGCCUCCCGAGACCCCACUGCUCCGCGUCAGGCUGGCCGCGAGGGCGGGGUGGUGCCUGUGGCCGCGAGGCCAGGUGGCCGCCAGGAGUGGGGGGAUGCGGAGCUGGAUGUCUGGCAUGGGAGGAGAGGGGCGUUCGCCCGCCUGGGAAGCACCGCCGAAAGCCAGGAGUCAGUGGGCGCGGUGCGGCCAGGCCCCAGCUGAGAAAACAGCAGGGCAGGAGGUGGCCUCGCCUUGCAAGGAAGUGCAGCCUGGCUGAGACUCAGCCUGCGGCCACCUCCCUGGUCCUGCGUCCUUUCCCAAGGGUCUUCUUCCUGACACUGAAGCCAGCCUGGCAUCUUCCUGUUCCAGCCUCCAGGGUGCUCCCAGGAUCGGGCUCACCUCUGCACCUGGUUUGAAUCCCAGGCGCAGACUUAGUACUGCUUGUCAAGCCCACGCUGUGGUGGCAUCCCACACAAAAUAGAGGAAGACUGGCACAGAUGUUAGCUUACUGACAAUCUUCC